rnacentral:rRNA from 1 species
GCCCUAGAUGUUCUGGGCCGCACGCGCGCUACACUGAACAGUUCAACAAGUCUUAACCUUGGCCGAUAGGUCUGGGUAAUCUUUGAACGCUGUUCGUGAUUGGGAUAGACCUUUGCAAUUAUGGGUCUUCAACGAGGAAUUCCUAGUAAACGCAAGUCAUCAGCUUGCAUUGAUUACGUCCCUGCCCUUUGUACACACCGCCCGUCGCACCUACCGAUUGAAUGGUCCGGUGAAAUCUCGGGACGGCGGCUUGGUCGCUUGCGUCCGACUGCUGAAACUUGAUUAAACCAUAUCAUUUAGAGGAAGGUGAAGUCGUAACA